rnacentral:SRP_RNA from 5 species
UGUUGGUUCUCCCGCAACGCUACUCUGUUUACCAGGUCAGGUCCGGAAGGAAGCAGCCAAGGCAGAUGACGCGUGUGCCGGGAUGUUGCUGGCAGGG